rnacentral:rRNA from 1 species
GUGUCAGCAGCCGCGGUAAUACGAAGGGGGCUAGCGUUGUUCGGAAUUACUGGGCGUAAAGGGCGCGUAGGCGGUGUGUCAAGUCAGGCGUGAAAGCCCCGGGCUCAACCUGGGAACCGCGCUUGAGACUGGCACGCUCGAGUUCGGGAGAGGAUGGUGGAAUUCCCAGUGUAGAGGUGAAAUUCGUAGAUAUUGGGAAGAACACCGAUGGCGAAGGCAGCCAUCUGGACCGACACUGACGCUGAGGCGCGAAAGCGUGGGGAGCAAACAGGAUUAGAAACCCCGGUAGUCC